rnacentral:other from 1 species
UAAGGCCUGUCCUGUUCGUGAUAAUAAUAUUGUUUUGUGCUAAACUUGAACUAUAGGGUGUUCGAUUAGGUAUGGCGUGAAUGCCUUCACUGCAGUUGGACUCAUAAAGUAUCUAUAGAAUCCCAUGCUUUGAUUCACAGUUCAAACAAGUUGUUACACGGCAAGAACAGGUCUUUU